GCUGGGUGUGGUGGCACCCAUCUGCAGUCCUGGCUACUCAGGAGGCUGAGGCGGGAGGGUGGCUUGAACCCAGGAGUUCUGGGCUACAGUCCACUAUGCUGAUUUGAUGUCUAUACUAAGCUCAGCAUCAGUAUGGUGAACUCCAGAAAGGAGGGACCACCAAGCUGCCUAAGGAGGGGUAAACCGGCCCAGAUCGGAAAUUGACCAAGUCAAAACUCCCAUGCUGAUCAGUAGUGGGAUCGUGCAUGUGACUAGCCACUGCACUCCAGCCUGGGCAACAUAGCAAAACCCCAUCUCUU
rfam:Nomascus leucogenys chromosome 3, whole genome shotgun sequence.